GACGGGGGGGGGCAAGUGUUCUUCGGAAUGACUGGGCGUAAAGGGCACGUAGGCGGUGAAUCGGGUUGAAAGUGAAAAGUCGCCAAAAAAGUGGCGGAAUGCUCUCGAAACCAAUUCACUUUGAGUGAGACAGAGGAGAGUGGAAUUUCGUGUGUAGGGGUGAAAUCCGUAGAUCUACGAAGGAACGCCAAAAAGCGAAGGCAGCUCUCUGGGUCCCUACCGACGCUGGGGUGCGAAAGCAUGGGGGAGCGAACAGG
rnacentral:rRNA from 1 species